rnacentral:rRNA from 1 species
GACGAACGCUGGCGGCGUGCUUAACACAUGCAAGUCGAGCGAUGAAGUUCCUUCGGGAAUGGAUUAGCGGCGGACGGGUGAGUAACACGUGGGUAACCUGCCUCAUAGAGGGGAAUAGCCUUUCGAAAGGAAGAUUAAUACCGCAUAAGAUUGUAGUUUCGCAUGAAACAGCAAUUAAAGGAGUAAUCCGCUAUGAGAUGGACCCGCGUCGCAUUAGCUAGUUGGUGAGGUAACGGCUCACCAAGGCGACGAUGCGUAGCCGAACUGAGAGGGUGAUCGGCCACAUUGGGACUGAGACACGGCCCAGACUCCUACGGGAGGCAGCAGUGGGGAAUAUUGCACAAUGGGGGAAACCCUGAUGCAGCAACGCCGCGUGAGUGAUGACGGUCUUCGGAUUGUAAAACUCUGUCUUCAGGGACGAUAAUGACGGUACCUGAGGAGGAAGCCACGGCUAACUACGUGCCAGCCGCCGCGGUAAAAC